CCUACGGGAGGCAGCAGUGAGGAAUAUUGGUCAAUGGACGAGAGUCUGAACCAGCCAAGUAGCGUGAAGGAUGACUGCCCUAUGGGUUGUAAACUUCUUUUAUAUGGGAAUAAAAUGUUCCACGUGUGGGAUUUUGUAUGUACCAUAUGCAUAAGGAUCGGCUAACUCCGUGCCAGCAGCCGCGGUAAUACGGAGGAUCCGAGCGUUAUCCGGAUUUAUUGGGUUUAAAGGGAGCGUAGGUGGAUUGUUAAGUCAGUUGUGAAAGUUUGCGGCUCAACCGUAAAAUUGCAGUUGAAACUGGCAGUCUUGAGUACAGUAGAGGUGGGCGGAAUGCGUGGUGUAGCGGUGAAAUGCUUAGAGAUCACGAAGAACUCCGAUUGCGAAGGCAGUUCACUGGACUGCAACUGACACUGAGGCUCGAAAGUGUGGGUAUCAAACAGGAUUAGAUACCCGAGUAGUC
rnacentral:rRNA from 1 species